rnacentral:lncRNA from 1 species
AUCAGUAAUUACUUGGCUAAUUCUUCCCAACUAUGGAAUUAUCAAUCAUUAAUUGUUGGGAAUCGUUCACAGCUUAACAAAAGCAGAGUUUUUUUGUUGUAGUAGUUGCCAUAUUUUGUUGUUAACCAUCAAUACUCGGAUUCUUUUAUCAUAAUCAUUGUUCUGAACGUUGGUUGGUUGGUUCGUUGGUUGAAUUCAAAUAAACUCUUGUAAAGUUGUGAAAAAUUCCUAACAACUAAAGGAUGGUUCAUCUAAACGUAUGCUAGCCGAGAAAUAAAAUAAAACGCUGCUGUGACAUUAUUUCUUAACCAAUGUUAUUAAAAUUUUGACAAAAAUCAACAGCAUGACGUAUUUGACACUCAAUGAAUAAAUUAGCCGUUAGCUUGAACCAAACUUUCACAAUGUCCCCGGACACGUUCUGCUGCCUUCUUGACCGUACCACUGGGUAAAAUUCGGAAUGCCCUCCUUACCCAUCUGUCAGGGAUCUUGUUGUGAUGUGGGAACCUUCAUCAGAAACCAAUUCAACGUUACUCAAACAAAAUAGUUUAUAGGAUUUCAUUCCGUAUGGUAAAUGAUAAGGGUGCCCCAUCUUGCUGCUAGAUCCAAAGCUGGUCUUUCAUAAUAAUACAGAUCCAGGGAAGACCUUGGUGGACGAAACAAUGAUGCUGACCUUCAGGCCUUGCUUGAAGAUGAAGGGCAGCAUAACAUUACCUUUGCUGCUAAUAACAAAAAUAACCAUAGUCUGCUGUGGGUACUUGGUUUUCAUGAUCUUAGGGAUGUUAUAACGACUUUUUGUCUUUAGUGUUCUUCGAGUUAUGCUUCUAGGUUUGAGAAAAAAAAAAUUAUCAUCUGAGAAGAACCAGACAAUAUCUUUCACGGGACUUUUGCUUGAUCAAAGCCUUGGUUUGGUUGAAUCCUUAGUUAAA